ACAAGACCUCUCAGGAAUGCUGGCAUGAGACAAGGAGAAAUGCCAGAACACUAAUUCUCUGGUGCAAAGCUUCUCAUUCUGACACUUUAGCUAAGAUGUGCCUAGGCACUGGAUCCUGGAGAUGCAAAUGUCAGAGAAAGAUACAUGAGCAGUAGGUUCUGGACGAGGAGGUGACAUUCAGGAUGCCCUUUCCAUCACAUGCCAAAGCAGCUGAACAGCUUCAGUUACAGAACAGUAGCUGCAUCAUGAAGGAAAAGUCACAUUCUGGGCAGAGUCCUCCUUGGAGAAGGGAUCUGCAGAACCAACGACAUGAAGCACAACUCAUUUAAUUAAGGCAAGUAUCUGUU